AGCCAGCUGCUGCACAAAGCCACAUUGUGGGCCUCCGCCUGGCGGGCAAGCACGUGACUUCAGACGGUGGGUGGCUGCCGGACGGGUGUGCCCUGCUGCCUUCCUCCAGGCCAGGACUCUGCAUCCUUGCCUUGACCCCACACAGCAAGAGCCAGUUGCUUUCUGGCCAUGAGGUGAGCAGCUUUGCUCCACCACAUGCACCUGCAUGAUGUGCCACCAUCAGCCCCAAACAACAGGACCAACCAAUAAUGGACUAAAACCUAUAAAACUAUGAGUCAAAAUAAACAUUUUUCUUU